ACUGCUCAGUAACACGUGGACAAUCUGCCCUUGGGUCUGGGAUAACUCCGGGAAACUGGAGAUAAUACCAGAUAGGUCAUAGAUGCUGGAAUGCUCUAUGGCCCAAAGCUCCGGCGCCCAAGGAUGAGUCUGCGGCCUAUCAGGUUGUAGUGGGCGUAAUGGACCCACUAGCCUACGACGGGUACGGGUUGUGAGAGCAAGAGCCCGGAGAUGGAUUCUGAGACAUGAAUCCAGGCCCUACGGGGCGCAGCAGGCGCGAAACCUUUACAAUGCGCGCAAGCGCGAUAAGGGGACCUCGAGUGUUCCUACCUAGUAGGAACUGUCCAGUUGUCUAAAAAACAACUGUUAGCAAGAGCCGGGCAAGACCGGUGCCAGCCGCCGCGGUAACACCGGCGGCUCGAGUGGUGACCGCUUUUAUUGGGUCUAAAGGGUCUGUAGCCGGUCUAACAAGUUCUUUGGAAAAUCUGGUCGCUUAACGAUCAGGCUGCUAGGGGAUACUGUUAGACUUGGGACCGGGAGAGGCUAGAGGUACUUUAGGGGUAGGGGUGAAAUCCUGUGAUCCUUAAAGGACCACCAGUGGCGAAGGCGUCUAGCUAGAACGGAUCCGACGGUGAGGGACGAAAGCUGGGGGCACGAACCGGAUUAGAUACCCGGGUAGUCCCAGCCGUAAACGAUGCGAGCUAGGUGUCAGUUUUACUGCGAGUAAAAUUGGUGCCGUAGGGAAGCCGUGAAGCUCGCCACCUGGGAAGUACGGCCGCAAGGCU
rnacentral:rRNA from 1 species